UCGUAACAAGGUCUCCGUAGGUGAACCUGCGGAGGGAUCAUUACAAGAACGCCCGGGCUUCGGCCUGGUUAUUCAUAACCCUUUGUUGUCCGACUCUGUUGCCUCCGGGGCGACCCUGCCUUCGGGCGGGGGCUCCGGGUGGACACUUCAAACUCUUGCGUAACUUUGCAGUCUGAGUAAACUUAAUUAAUAAAUUAAAACUUUUAACAACGGAUCUCUUGGUUCUGGCAUCGAUGAAGAACGCAGCGAAAUGCGAUAAGUAAUGUGAAUUGCAGAAUUCAGUGAAUCAUCGAAUCUUUGAACGCACAUUGCGCCCCCUGGUAUUCCGGGGGGCAUGCCUGUUCGAGCGUCAUUUCACCACUCAAGCCUCGCUUGGUAUUGGGCAACGCGGUCCGCCGCGUGCCUCAAAUCGUCCGGCUGGGUCUUCUGUCCCCUAAGCGUUGUGGAAACUAUUCGCUAAAGGGUGUUCGGGAGGCUACGCCGUAAAACAACCCCAUUUCUAAGGUUGACCUCGGAUCAGGUAGGGAUACCCGCUGAACUUAAGCAUAUCAAUAA
rnacentral:misc_RNA from 2 species